GAGGUAUUUCUGGUUCCGGUGUGGGGACUUUCGUUCUUGGUGGUCAGUUGUUGCAGUUGGUGGGUAGUAACUAAGCCAAGAUGCUGCAGAAUCUGCUGG
rnacentral:miRNA from 1 species